GUGGGGAAUUUUGCGCAAUGGGGGAAACCCUGACGCAGCAACGCCGCGUGAGUGAUGAAGGCCUUCGGGUCGUAAAGCUCUUUUAGUGGGGAAGAAGCCCAUCCGGAUUAACAGUCCGGGUGUCUGACGGUACCCACAGAAAAAGUUCCGGCUAACUACGUGCCAGCAGCCGCGGUAAUACGUAGGGAGCAAGCGUUGUUCGGAAUUAUUGGGCGUAAAGAGCGCGUAGGCGGUUCGGUAAGUCUGACGUGAAAUCCCGGAGCUCAACUCCGGAACUGCGUUGGAUACUGCCGGGCUGGAGUGCGGGAGAGGAGAGUGGAAUUCCCAGUGUAGAGGUGAAAUUCGUAGAUAUUGGGAGGAACACCCGUGGCGAAGGCGGCUCUCUGGACCGCAACUGACGCUGAGGCGCGAAAGCUAGGGUAGCAAACGGGAUUAGAAACCCCGGUAGUCC
rnacentral:rRNA from 1 species